rnacentral:rRNA from 1 species
CGUAGGGGGCAAGCGUUGUCCGGAUUUACUGGGCGUAAAGAGCACGUAGGCGGAGAUCUAAGCGUGGCCUGAAAGCCCCCGGCUCAACCGGGGAGUGCGGCUGCGAACUGGGUUUCUUGAGGACGAUAGAGGAGAGUGGAAUUCCUGGCGUAGCGGUGAAAUGCGUAGAUAUCAGGAGGAACACCCGAGGCGAAGGCGGCUCUCUGGGUCGUACCUGACGCUGAGGCGCGAAAGCGUGGGGAGCGAACGGGAUUAGAUACCCCGGUAGUCCACGCCGUAAACGAUGGUCACUAGGUGUGUGUGGUAUCGACCCCGCACGUGCCGCAGCUAACGCAAUAAGUGACCCGCCUGGGGAGUACGGCCGCAAGGUUG